AAAGCAAGUCAUUUUGUCCGGAGGUUCAGCCACCUCUCUUGUCAAGGCACAGCAGGGGCUGUUGCUUGCCUGGGAACUCUGCCAAAGCUGUAACAGCACUCAAUUCACCUAGCAGGGGCCACCUGCUUCAGGGGCAUUGUGGACCAGUCCUCUGGACACUAGUCUUUGGAAGAAGGGACUUGACAGCCCCGGUGAGUGGUGAGAUUGAGUGGCAGCAGGUGGGCUGCUUGCCUGAGGCCACUCACCCCAAGCAGCUGCAAUUCCCAAGUCUUUUCCCUGGAUGUCAGCCUCUAUCCACAGCGAGGUGUCUCAUGAAAAUGACUAUAAAACUUCUUGUCAAAUUGGAGUACUUUGGAAUAUUUAGGAAAAAUUGGCAGAGAGGAGACAGGACUAAAGUGCAGCUCCCACUUGGAUGAACUGAACAGUGUGUGGAGACUCACAUUGUGAAUUUUUGCUCCAAGAACUACCUCAGGAACAUACAAGAAAAACCAAAAGAAUUCACAGACCCUUUGAAAAAAGUGGCUUGCCAGUGCAAACUCCAUGAGACAGCUGAAAAACUGUGCUCUCUGUACACAGAGGGUUUUGUCUGUUUGGUCACCGAUGCAUCUUCAGUGCCCAGAACAGUGCAUGGCAAUGGCAGACUCUCAACUGAUGGUUUAAAGAGGUUGUCUUUUCCGAGGCCCAUCACCUGCUUCACAGGUAUGUGGUUGUCGUUCAUCAAGUGUGUUUCCUGACUUGCUUUAGUUCUUUUCAUGUAUAAGCACUCCCUGAGUACCCUUCUGUGCCAGGCACUCUGGUAGGUGCU